CUACAGAACGAACGCUGGCGGCGUGCCUAACACAUGCAAGUCGAACGGAAUUAAGGGGCUUGCUCCUUAAUUUAGUGGCGCACGGGUGAGUAAUGCGUGGAUAACCUACCCUGGUAUCCGGGAUAACAUCUCGAAAGGGGUGCUAAUACGGGAUAAGCCCACGGGGUCUUCGGACCCUGCGGGAAAAGGUGGCCUCUGACUCAAGCUACUGUAUCAGGAUGGGUCCACGUACCAUUAGCUAGUUGGUGGGGUAAAGGCCUACCAAGGCUACGAUGGUUAGCUGGUCUGAGAGGAUGAUCAGCCACACUGGAACUGAGACACGGUCCAGACUCCUACGGGAGGCAGCAGUGGGGAAUUUUGCGCAAUGGGGGAAACCCUGACGCAGCAACGCCGCGUGAGUGAUGAAGGCCUUCGGGUCGUAAAGCUCUGUCAGAGGGAAAGAAGUGUAUCAUGGUUAAUACCCGUGAUACUUGACGGUACCCUCAAAGGAAGCACCGGCUAACUCCGUGCCAGCAGCCGCGGUAA
rnacentral:rRNA from 1 species